UACAGAGGGUGCGAGCGUUAAUCGGAAUUACUGGGCGUAAAGCGCGCGUAGGCGGCUUUUCAAGUCGGAUGUGAAAUCCCCGGGCUCAACCUGGGAACUGCAUUCGAGACUGUCUAGCUAGAGUAUGGGAGAGGGAAGUGGAAUUUCAGGUGUAGCGGUGAAAUGCGUAGAUAUCUGAAGGAACAUCAGUGGCGAAAGCGACUUCCUGGACCAAUACUGACGCUCAUGUGCGAAAGCGUGGGGAGCAAACAGG
rnacentral:rRNA from 1 species